GAGUUUCCCGUACUACGACCACCAGGUGGACAUGAUGCUCUGUGCACGUUUGCCAACCCUGCCGCCAUCUUUCCCGUAUAUGAACCUUAAAUGGGACACGAGUCAUUUUAAGAGAUCUGGAGGGCCGGAGAGGGACAGCUAUAUUAUUCAUCCUGAGUUUGUUUCGGAAGCUUAUCCCUCUCCGCCAUGUUGGUAUUAAGAGAGUCGAGAGAGACUGCCAUUAAAAAGUGCCACUGGUGACGAAUUA